rnacentral:rRNA from 1 species
AGAGUUUGAUCCUGGCUCAGCUUGGAUCUACUCCUUAGAGUUUGAUCAUGGCUCAGAUUGAACGCUGGCGGCAGGCUUAACACAUGCAAGUCGAGCGGGGAAGGUUGCUUCGGUAGCUGACCUAGCGGCGGACGGGUGAGUAAUGCUUAGGAAUCUGCCAUUUAGUGGGGGACAACAUUCCGAAAGGAAUGCUAAUACCGCAUACGUCCUACGGGAGAAAGCAGGGGAUCUUCGGACCUUGCGCUAAAUGAUGAGCCUAAGUCGGAUUAGCUAGUUGGUGGGGUAAAGGCCUACCAAGGCGACGAUCUGUAGCGGGUCUGAGAGGAUGAUCCGCCACACUGGGACUGAGACACGGCCCAGACUCCUACGGGAGGCAGCAGUGGGGAAUAUUGGACAAUGGGCGGAAGCCUGAUCCAGCCAUGCCGCGUGUGUGAAGAAGCCUUAUGGUGUAAC